CUGGCUUGCAGCAACCGUCCAGUUCCACUUAAUUUGCUUUCACAUCCUGGGUAUCCACAACACGGCCGCUGAUGCUCUGUCUCGAUCUCAAUUCCAGGUAUUCUUCCAGGCACUCCCGUCAGCCCACCAUCAACCAUCCAGAACACCGAGGUUUCACGAGUUAAUCCUGGAUUGAACACAGUUAUGCACCACACUAGGACUCUCACCUAACACAACUAUCACCUACAGUAGGGCACUUACCGUUUUC